rnacentral:rRNA from 1 species
UACGUAGGGGGCGAGCGUUGUCCGGAUUUAUUGGGCGUAAAGAGCGUGUAGGCGGCCAGGUAGGUCCGUUGUGAAAACUCGAGGCUCAACCUCGAGACGUCGAUGGAAACCAUCUGGCUAGAGUCCGGAAGAGGAGAGUGGAAUUCCUAGUGUAGCGGUGAAAUGCGCAGAUAUCAGGAAGAACACCUAUGGCGAAGGCAGCUCUCUGGGACGGUACUGACGCUGAGACGCGAAAGCGUGGGGAGCGAACAGG